rnacentral:rRNA from 1 species
GACGAACGCUGGCGGCGUGCUUAACACAUGCAAGUCGAACGGAAAGGCCCUGCUUUUGUGGGGUGCUCGAGUGGCGAACGGGUGAGUAACACGUGAGUAACCUGCACUUGACUUUGGGAUAACUUCAGGAAACUGGGGCUAAUAUAGGAUAGGAGCUACUGCUGCAUGGUGGGGGAUGGAAAGAUUCGGCGGUUGGGGAUGGACUCGCGGGUUAUCAGCUUGUUGGUGGGGUAGUGGAUGACCAAGGCUUUGACGGGUAGCAGGCCUGAGCGGGUGACCGGCCACAUUGGGACUGAGAUACGGCCCAGACUCCUACGGGAGGCAGCAGUGGGGAAGAUUGCACAAGGGGCGGAAGCCUGAUGCAGCAACGCCGCGUGCGGGAUGACGGCCUUCGGGUUGUAAACCGCUUUCGCCUGUGACGAAGCGUGAGUGACGGUAAUGGGUAAAGAAGCACCGGCUAACUACGGG